AUUGAACGCUGGCGGCAUGCCUUACACAUGCAAGUCGAACGGCAGCGGACCUUCGGGUGCCGGCGAGUGGCGAACGGGUGAGUGAUGUAUCGGAACGUACCUUUCAGUGGGGGAUAACGUAGCGAAAGUUACGCUAAUACCGCAUAUUCUGUGAGCAGGAAAGCAGGGGAUCGCAAGACCUUGCGCUGAUUGAGCGGCCGAUAUCAGAUUAGCUAGUUGGGGAGGUAAAGGCUCACCAAGGCGACGAUCUGUAGAGGGUCUGAGAGGAUGAUCCGCCACACUGGAACAGAGACACGGUCCAGGCUCCUACGGGAGGCAGCAGUGGGGAAUUUUGGACAAUGGGGGCAACCCUGAUCCAGCCAUGCCGCGUGAGUGAAGAAGGCCUUCGGGUUGUAAAGCUCUUUCGUCCGGGAAGAAAUCGCAUCAGCUAAUACCUGGUGUGGAUGACGGUACCGGAAUAAGAAGCACCGGCUAACUACGUGCCAGCCGCCGCAGUAAGAC
rnacentral:rRNA from 1 species